CAGCAGCCACGGGAAUACGGAGGAUCCAAGCGUUAUCCGGAAUCAUUGGGUUUAAAGGGUCCGUAGGCGGUCUUGUAAGUCAGUGGUGAAAGCCCAUCGCUCAACGGUGGAACGGCCAUUGAUACUGCAGGACUUGAAUUAUUGGGAAGUAACUAGAAUAUGUAGUGUAGCGGUGAAAUGCUUAGAGAUUACAUGGAAUACCAAUUGCGAAGGCAGGUUACUACCAAUUGAUUGACGCUGAUGGACGAAAGCGUGGGUAGCGAACAGGAUUAGAGACCCGCGUAGUCCCUGUCUCUUAUAA
rnacentral:rRNA from 1 species